GCUGCGGUUGGACUUGAUGAUCUUUGAGGUCCUUUCCAACCUGAGUAAUUCUGUGAUUCUAUGAUUUUUUCAGUCUAUAACCAUGUCACAUUGCUGAUUUACCCAUCUUUGCUUAUUUUUUAUUCAUGUGUCUAGUGACAUUAUGCACUAAAGAAGUGCUUCUUCUAGAUAUGUCCAAUCUAUAGCAGUGUACUAAAACAAUAUUAAAUAAGAGCAACUACUGCAAAAGCAGUUCAUAUAUUGCAUGUGCACUGUACUUUUUUUUUUUUUUUUCGAAGUAAUAUAUUUUUCUCAUCUAUCCUUAGUUAAGAAAUCCCUAUGAAACGGACUAGAUAACUUGAAAUUAUAAACAUUUGUGAGUUUUAAUUAGUAAAAGUCAAAACAAUUUUUACAAUAUAUAAAUGGAAAUACAACUCAGAAUUUUGUCUCCACUACUGUUAUUGAUUUAUUAUAUAAGACAUUUAAUAUAUUUCAAACACAUUGUAUAGAAUAUAUAGGUAAUCUAUAAUUAUAUGUAAAUAGAGUUACCUAAAGGCUAUGUCUCCUGAGAUGCACUGGAAUUCAGAAGAUACGACUUUUGCCUCUUUAAGGAUCUGCUUAGAAAAGUUCUAUGGGAUAAAGUCCUAGAAGCAAGAGCAGCCCAAGAAAUUUGAUAGAGGAUCAACUCCUUGAUCAUCAAAAUUCAUCAUGGAGAAGUUAUGACUGACCAACUUCUAAGAUGAAAUGUACAAGGAGAGAACAGUGGAUAUUGUCUAUCUGGACUGCAUUAGGACAUUUGACUCUUAUCCCUCAUAAGGACCUGACAGAGAAGUUGUAGAUGUGUUGUCUGGAUGAGGAGACAAUGAAAAGAGUUUAAAAUUAUUUGACUGGGCAGAAACCAGAUAGUGGUGUUCAGUGGUGCAAAGUCCAUUUGUAGACCAUUAACUAGCAAUGUGCUUAGGGAAAAAUAUUGGGUCCAGUCCUCUUGAACACCUUCAUUAGUGAUCCUGCUGAGUGGUACAGGGUAUUCUCAACAUGUUUGCUGAUGGCACAAAUGUGGGAAGACUGGCCAGAGUGUUAUGUUGCUAUCCAGAGAGUCCUGGGCAAACUGGAGAAAUGGGCUGAUGGGAAUAUCAUGAAGUUCAACAGAGAAAGUGCAAAGUCCUGCACCUGAGAAGGAGCAACUCCAUGCACCGGUAUGUGCUGGAUGCAACCCAGCUGGAAAACAGCCUGCCAGAAAAGGACACAAGGAAGGCAACUUGCAUCAACUUCAGAUGUCAGCAACAGUGAGAGCCCUUACUUUUUAUGGAACUACAAAGUUGGAAACGGCCAUCUGCUCAGCCUUCUGUUAACUGAAUUCGUCCCUGGAAAUAAUUUUCAACUAAGAUCUACAAAGAAAGAGAAAAUGGUAUUCUCCUGGAAAAGCUGGUAGCCUGUGGCUUGGACUGGUACACUCUUUGCUGAGUGUAUUGAAGAUGGGUCAAGAGCAUAGUUGCCUGGGACCCGUCCUGUUCAGUAUCUUUGUUGAUGACCUGGACGAGGGGAUUGAGCAAGUCUGCAGAUGAUGAUGAAAUGGAAAGUAAUAUUGAUCAGCCAGAGGUAGGAAUGCCCUACAGAACAAUCUGAACAGGCUGGAUCACUGGGCUGAGGCCAAUGGGAAGAAGUUCAACAGGAUCAAGUGCCAGGUCCUGGACUUUGUCCACAACAACCCCAGGCAAUGCUACAGGCUUGGGGCAGAGCGCCUGGAAGACUAUGUGGAAAAAGCAGACUUAGGGGUGUUGGUCGACGCUCAGCUGAACAUGAGCUAGCAGUGUACUCAGGUGGCCAAGAAGGCCAAUGGCAUCCUGACUUGCAUCAGAAACAGUGUUACCAGCAGGAGCAGGGAAGUGAUCAUCCCUCUGUACUCAGCA